rnacentral:rRNA from 1 species
GGGCGCUUAGUCAGAUGCUGCAGACCCGAAACGAAGUGAUCUAUCCAUGAGCAAGUUGAAGCUAGUGUAAGAACUAGUGGAGGACUGAACCCAUAGGCGUUGAAAAGCCCCGGGAUGACUUGUGGAUAGGGGUGAAAGGCCAAUCAAACUUCGUGAUAGCUGGUUCUCUCCGAAAUAUAUUUAGGUAUAGCGUUGUGUCGUAAUAUAAGGGGGUAGAGCACUGAAUGGGCUAGGGCAUACACCAAUGUACCAAACCCUAUCAAACUCCGAAUACCUUAUAUGUAAUCACAGCAGUCAGGCGGCGAGUGAUAAAAUCCGUCGUCAAGAGGGAAACAACCCAGACUACCAGCUAAGGUCCCUAAAUCUUACUUAAGUGGAAAACGAUGUGAAGUUACUUAAACAACCAGGAGGUUGGCUUAGAAGCAGCCAUCCUUUAAAGAAAGCGUAAUAGCUCACUGGUCUAGUGAUUUUGCGCGGAAAAUAUAACGGGGCUAAAGUAAGUACCGAAGCUGUAGACUUGCACACAA